rnacentral:tRNA from 2 species
GAGAAGGAAACAAGACCUGCUAAAUCUUCCACCCGAUACUAACACACCGGCCUUCUCU